UUAAAAUGCUACAUGGUGCUUCCACCACACUCACGUACAUUGGCAUUUACAAUGCAAAGUAGGAGUUUCCUACAAGAAAUGGAAUACUUUUCUUUGUGACUUUUGGCAGUUAGGAUGCCGCCAAAAAUAGUGACAAUCCAGGUAAGAUGAAUAGGUAUCAGUAUUUCUUGUCUUUCUGUAGUGUGAAUCAACUGAUUUAACAAAAACAUAUAAUCCAAAGCAAUGAUUUUGUGAGCUGAUGUGAAUAAAAGGCAAGAAAGAAAUGAAUCUACUUUGAAAUAUGGAAUUGACUUGUACCCUAAUUCUGCUUCUGCCUUUUAAAUUGUUCAAUAUAUUUCCAGGGGAAAAAAUUACAUUAUAUGAAACAUGGAAAUACUUUAUAAUUUCCUUUUAAAUAUGCCCUCGGGUUCCUAUUUGAUUGGAGAGAUAUUUCAAACUAUUCUUCUAAAGUUGCAUUUUAGAAAAGUUUAAUACAGAGACAUUAAAGUUUAAUUUAUCUGGCUGGUAGGAUGGCUAAGUGGGUAAUGCACUCGCCCAUAUUAGCAAAAAGAGCUGACUGAGUUCAGAUUGCUAGAAUCCAUGUGAUGCUGGGUAUGGUGGCAAGUCCCUUUUGUCCUGGUGAUCCCAUGGCAUGACGGGAUGUAAGAUACCUGCUAUUCUCUAGGCUACCCAUUCUGGCAUGCAGGGCAGAAAACAAGGAUCAAUGUGGAAGGCAGGAGCUAACACUCAUGACUUCUAAUUGCACAGGUUGAUCUAACUGUACCUUUGCUCUCAGAAGAACACACACAUAGAUGCACACUGAUAUCAACACAUGCACACAAGAACAAAAAUGUAAUUCCUUUGUCAAUAAAACUAUAUAUUUACAUUACAAAUACUGCCAUAAUAUGUAUAUACACAAAUGUACUCACAAAGUCACAUGUGUGUUUAUGGAUCAUACUAUAAUUUUUAUUUCAAAAACUGAACAAAAUUAAGUAUAUAAAACUAAAAUCAAGUGUACUGUAAAAAAUAACCUAAAUAUGUUAUCUAAAUGAAGUUUUGAUAUAGCUAUAUAGGUUAUAAUUUCAUGCCAAAUAAUUUAAAAUAAGUCAAAAAUAUUGUGUUACUUUUAAAUAUUCUUAGCUCUUUUAAAUUCAAUCUUUUAAGUUCAGAUUACUGUCAGGAUGUCUUAAAAUAAAUUAAAGGAGUUAUGAAAUAUCAGUAAAUUGUGAAAUUCUUUGUGUCUUACAGUGAAAUCAUUGAAAAUUAGAUUUUUUAGAAUCAAUGGGACCCAAGACUCAUUUCUAAAGAGCACUGUGGUUUUUAUCAACUCACUCGAGAGAGACCGCAGUCUGCUCUAGGUCAGAAAAGAAAUGAUUUAUUACACAAUUGUAGCUCUCUGAAUAGCUUUACAGUCUCUCAUUAAGUGCGACAGUACAGAGAAUCAUUUACUGAUCUUUUUACAAAGCUUAAAACGUCCUACGAGUGCUUAGGCAGCUGUAGAGCAGCUUACAGAUCAGGACAGGCAUCCAAAUGAAUGAUCGUAGAAAACAAUUCACAGCGUCAAUGUGAAUACAUGUUUUGGAUUUUGACAAUAUAUUUAGUCAAAUAAAAUAAGGUUCUUUCAUCAUGAACAAAUUUGAAAGGUAUUCAAGCAGGACUCCAAAAUCAUUUAUUCUGAAUUAUUUGCCUUAUUAUUUUAAUAGCAUUUUCAUGUCACUUUGCAGUAACUUUGUGACAGCACAACAAAACAGCAAUACCUGACCAGGCAAGUGUAGGAUGAGCAGUACAAAUUAACACUCCUGUUUCUACUUCAGGAACUGAUAGAUCAGAUGUGCGGGAACAUUCAUUCAGUGACUCCCACACCAGCAUGGUCUACAAAGUAAGACCCGGUCUUACCCCUGCUGUUGAAUUAGGGAAGGCUGAAAGAAGCUGAGGAGGAGGGUGAUCCUGUAGGAGGACCAGCAAAUUAAUCUGGACCCCGAGAUCUCUCAAACACUGGACCACCAAACGGGCAGCAUACAGCAGCUGAUAUGAGGCCCCCGAUGCCCAUACAGUAGAGGACUUCCAGGUCUGUGUUCAUUCAGAGAAGAUGCACCUAACCCUCAAGAGACUGAAGGCGCCAGGAAGUUUAGAGGUCAGGUGGGGUGGGGAGUGGGGGCAUCCGUGUGGAUACGGAGUGGGGUGGGGAGGAGGUAUGGGAUGUAGAACAGUCAGAGGGUGGAUGGGGGGGGCAGGGAAUGGAAUAUGGAGUAUAAAAAAUAAAUUAAAAAUAAAAUACAAUUAAAAAAGAAAAUCAUACAAAAAUGUGUAGUAAUAAAAAUUCACACUACAGUUUGAUUUUUUUUCAUCCCAUAAAUAUGAAAAAUAUGACAGGUAACAUAAUAUGUAGAAUAAAAUAUGCAUGUUAUAUAGAGAUAUACAAAUGACAAAUUUUGUGUAUUCAGGGCUGUUUCCACAGAUAAAGCCAAGCUCAUACUUAAAUUAUUCAGGAAAAAUUAUGGUAUACACUGAACAUGUAUGGACUUUCAUUUUUUUAAUCUUUAUUCCCGAAGCAAUAAACAAUUGUAAGUAUUUGCAUAGCCUUUACAUUGUAUUCAAUGUUCUAAACUUUUGAGAUGACUUAAAACUCUGAAAGAAACUUCCCAUGGUCUAUGCAACAUUUCACAUAGGGACAUAGGGAUACACAUAUCGUGGUAUUCUGGUGCACUAAAUGUCUGGGAUUCAAAACGCAUGAAGUCUGAAAAGCUCUUCAUAUCCAUUCUGUAUAAAUAGAAAUUUAUAUGGGAUGCUGGUGAAUAUAAGACAACAAUAGAGAGAAGAAAAACAUGGGAAGAAAAGAAUAGCAUCAGAAUAAAUACUCACACUCAUUGAAAUAGGAAAAGGAAAAUGUUUCAAUUCCUAAGAGUGAAAUAGAAAAUUAAUUUUAAAAGUUCAUUUUUAAAAUAAAAUCAAGAAGAAAAACAGAAAAACAGGAGUUUCCUUUUUUUUUUUUUUUUUUUUACAAAAAAUAGAGUUCUCUAUUUUGAAGUAAGGAGGUCACACAUUCACGUCACACGUGUAAUAAAUGCAUCUUAUUGUGACAGUUUUUCUUUUUUUUACAUGUCUGUUGAAGAUAUUGGCAGACAAAGGUGUCCUCAGGCAAAGCUUCUGAAUUCUAAAGGACAGGAACAGAUGUCAUUUUGGGGCACUCCUGUCUCUUGCUCACCUAAGAUAUACAAAUAACAACCAGCUCUCAUUUGUGUGCAGUUCAGAGUUUUCAUAAUGUGAAAGAGGAAGACAGGAAAG
rnacentral:lncRNA from 1 species